UUCUAGUCAUGUAUAUAUAAACCGUACUAGUCAAAUACAAGUCAGUCACGAAGCGUACACAACACGUCUUAGGUCAUAUUUUUUGCAGUCUGUGAUACAGAAAUAUUUACACUAAUAUUCAUUUGACAAUAAUGUGGUGUACGACACCCUGGUCCUCUUAAUUGGAUAUUAUCAAAAAGUGAAUCCCUUUCCCAUUGCGUUUCCCAAAUAUUUUGAACUCUGCUUUUGCUUCAAAAGAUUUCGACACGAUUUUGAGAUUGAAGAGGGACUCGUGUUGAAUUUGAGGAAUUCACAAGAAAUCCAGGAAAAAAUUCCGCCUAUUCAAGAAAACCAAGAUAACAAAAAGGAAGGCAUUGAUUCAGUGGAAGUUGAGAAACUCAUUUCGGUAUUGAAAAUGGAACGGAACGCGCAGCAAAUUCUGGUCAUUUUACCACAUGCGGACAAUUAUGUAGUAGCUAUCCAGGAGAUGAACAAGGAAAUCAAAAACAUCAAAACCUAUGGACUACAUCGCAAAGGUGUGGAAAACUGUACGGAUGCAGAUUUGGAGGAUUUUUUCAAUGCUCCAAAACUAAAAGAUCAACAAAUUUUGGUGACCUUGGAAGGUUGUGUCAACGGGUUUGAAGCUGAAAUGGUCUUAUUCACUGAAUUUCAUGAUUUUGGAUCAAAAUACGUCAUGUAUCGGGCCAAAACGAAACUUCAAACUACAACUUUGAAAAAAUGUGCUCAUCCGACACUUCAUGAGCAAUAUCCAGUGGAGGAACAAGAGAUAAACACUGCAAUCAUUUUCUAAGCUGGUGGCCUUGUUAUUUGGGGACCAUUUUUGGGUGAAAAUUCCCGCUCCCAACUUGCGUGCCUCGGAUUUCACCAAUUUACCGAUCAAAUAUUAUUCAAAACUUCAACCGAAACCCGAUCCCGGAACUACUUACGUAAACUAUUGCAACGAUUUUGAAAGCCUAGGCUCGCCCGAAAAAUUGAGUCAAGUCUCAUCGAUCAAACAAUUCAUCAUUGUGGUCCCAAAAACCUCUACUAAAAAGGUCAAUGAUUUCCCUCUACUUCUUUGGCUGAAGCUUUCAAACGAAUGGAAAACGAGCAUAUGCAUCAAUUUGAACGGUCGCCCUCUCCCAGCUGAUCAUUCUAUGAAUUUCCCGAUUCAUUGGGACAACCUGGAAAUCGUGAAAAUAUCCAUACCCGAUUUACAAGGAUGGCGUAACUGGAAGAAUGUUUUGAUGGCCGAGAUAAUUCAUUGCCAUCAUUGCAAGCUUGAUGUUACAAGGGGAUUCGACUUCCACCGACUGUUUUCGGUUUGGUCUCGCAUCCGCGAAGAAUUCAAACUGCAUAAGUACAUUUUUGACAAGAAACAAUUGGACAACGAAUCAUACGACGAGUUUCGGAUGGAGAUCCUCAAGGAGUAUCUUUUUGUCGGGAAUACGUUUCAUCUUGCCAAAGACAUUUUGAAAUCUUAUGGUAUUGAUGCGCAAUUCCAACAGCCGAAUCGGAUUGAUCAAUUUCUGAAAUGGCUCUGUCUAGAAGUGAAUUCGCCAUUGAAUGAUUUUCUCAUUUCAUGUGAAAUUCCGGAGUACCCAUCCGAAAAUACGGCAAAAAUCAACCCUGAGCGAACAGAUGUCACCCAUUUGCGACACGAGCUGAUAUAUUUGUUUGAUAAUGUCCAUCCUUCAUCGCAAGAGUUGCAUCGGCCAUUAAUUUCGUUAAUAUGGGAAGAAAAACUAUGUCGGCUUUUUCAAGAAAUCCUCAUCAAUGACUUUCCUCAUGUCGUUGAAGAAUCGUGGUUUUCUGAAUUUGUUUCCAUGGAAAGCGUGUGUCAAAGAAAAAAGGAAACGAUCCUUAAAACUCGCGGCAAUACGUCAAUUUAUACCCAAUUUCAGGAAAAGAAUGUUUCGACAAAUGACUGCAUUCCUCCUGAGAGCAGAAGUAUUUUUGCAAAAAUUGUGAUGUUCAUCGCCAAUCAAUCUAUCUAAAGCAACGGAGGAACCAUAACUAAUCCAAAAACAACCAGCGUCUUGACCACUUUCAGGGAUGGAAACGUUGAAAAUUGUUAAUAACCCAUGCCCAAACUACCCAAAAAAUCGAAUGAUUAAAUAUGUAACCAUUUCCUGAAACCAA